rnacentral:lncRNA from 1 species
AUUAGGAGUAAACAGCUAGCUUAAUUUACUACUAAUUUAUUUUUGAUGAUAGAGUAUCAAUGAUCGGCAUAAUUGAAUAUGAUCUAGACUAUUUAAUUAACUAUACAAAAAUUAAAUUUUAUAACUUUUCCUCAUCACUAAUGAACGAUCAAAGUAUCACAAAAUUUAUAAUUUUAAUGGCCAAUAAAGUACGUUUGAUCAUUUAAUGAAUUAACUGAAUUUUUAUUAGAAAAUAUUUUAAACUGUUUAAAAUAAAAUCUAAAUAUUAGAUCUUAAAUAUAAAAAUUGUAUUAUCACUUUUUGAAGAAUAUUUAUUUUCAGCCAUUCAUUUUAUGUCCAUAUAAUGAACAAGAAAACAAUAUCGAAAAAAUAUAAAAUUUGAUUUCUAAAUAGUUUAAAAUGUCUAGAUCAUUUUCAACGGUGCCGAUUAUCAGUUUGCAAACUCUAUCAUCGAAAAUAAAUCGAUAGUAACUAAGUCGUUUACUACCUAUAAUAAUAUUCCAGUCCUACUCGUCCUUCGUGAUCAAAUAAAUAAAUAAAAUAAAGUAAAAUUUAAUAUUU